UACGUAGGGUGCAAGCGUUAAUCGGAAUUACUGGGCGUAAAGGGCGCGUAGGCGGUGUGUCAAGUCAGGCGUGAAAGCCCCGGGCUCAACCUGGGAACCGCGCUUGAGACUGGCACGCUCGAGUUCGGGAGAGGAUGGUGGAAUUCCCAGUGUAGAGGUGAAAUUCGUAGAUAUUGGGAAGAACACCGAUGGCGAAGGCAGCCAUCUGGACCGACACUGACGCUGAGGCGCGAAAGCGUGGGGAGCAAACAGG
rnacentral:rRNA from 1 species